rnacentral:rRNA from 1 species
GGGGGAGCACUACAACGGGUGGAGCCUGCGGUUUAAUUGGAUUCAACGCCGGGAAGCUUACCGGGGGAGACAGCGGGAUGAAGGUCGGGCUGAAGGCCUUACCAGACUAGCUGAGAGGUGGUGCAUGGCCGCCGUCAGUUCGUACUGUGAAGCAUCCUGUUAAGUCAGGCAACGAGCGAGACCCGCGCCCUCAGUUGCCAGCGGGUCGCUCUGCGACGCCGGGCACACUGAGGGGACUGCCGGCGCUAAGCCGGAGGAAGGUGCGGGCAACGGCAGGUCCGUAUGCCCCGAAUCUCCCGGGCUACACGCGGGCUACAAUGGCCGGGACAAUGGGUACCGACCCCGAAAGGGGUGGGUAAUCUCCUAAACCCGGUCUAACCUGGGAUCGAGGGCUGCAACUCGCCCUCGUGAACCUGGAAUCCGUAGUAAUCGCGCCUCAAAAUGGCGCGGUGAAUACGUCCCUGCUCCUUGCACACACCGCCCGUCAAGCCACCCGAGUGGGCCAGGGGUGAGGGCCCGCCCGUAAGGCGGGUUCGAACCCAGGGUCCGCGAGGGGGGCUAAGUCGUAACAAGGUAACC